rnacentral:lncRNA from 1 species
AGUCAUUGAAUAGGCUUGAGUUGGCUUUAAGAGAUGUGAACCGUGUUUUGAGUAUUGAACCAAAUAAUUUGGCUGCAUUGGAGAUUGCAGACCAGGUUAAAAAGGCAAUGGAAGAGAAAGGUCUGAAAAUUGAAGAAAUAGUAUUACCUCAAGAAUCUGUUGAGCCCCCUACUGCUCCAGUUUCUACCAAGGUUGUGAAGGAUAAGUCAAAAAAGACUAGUAUUACCUCAAGAAUCUGUUGAGCCUCCUACUGCUCCAGUUUCUACCAAGGUUGUGAAGGAUAAGUCGAAAAAGAAGAAGAGCAACAAAUUUGACAGAAAGAAAGUUUUGGAAGUUGAGGAAAAGAAGGUUGAGGAGGUCGGAGAAAAGAA